rnacentral:misc_RNA from 1 species
UAUGAAGAACGCAGCGAAAUGCGAUAAGUAAUGUGAAUUGCAGAAUUCAGUGAAUCAUCGAAUCUUUGAACGCACAUUGCGCCCAUUAGUAUUCUAGUGGGCAUGCCUGUUCGAGCGUCAUUUCAACCCUUAAGCCUAGCUUAGUAUUGGGAAUCGACUUUACUGUCGUUCCUCAAAUUCAACGGCGGAUUUAUAGCAAUCUCUGAACGUAGUAAUUUUUUUCCUCGUUUUUGAAAUACUAUAAACCUCAGCCGCUAAACCCCCAAUUUUUCUAUGGUUGACCUCGGAUCAGGUAGGAAUACCCGCUGAACUUAAGCAUAUCAAUAAGCGGAGGA